rnacentral:rRNA from 1 species
GGACGAACGCUGGCGGCGUGCCUAAUACAUGCAAGUCGAGCGGAAAUUUAUGGUGCUUGCACCUUAAAUUUAGCGGCGGACGGGUGAGUAACACGUGGGUAACCUACCUUAUAGAUUGGGAUAACUCCGGGAAACCGGGGCUAAUACCGAAUAAUACUUUUUAACACAUGUUUGAAAGUUGAAAGACGGUUUCGGCUGUCACUAUAAGAUGGACCCGCGGCGCAUUAGCUAGUUGGUGAGGUAACGGCUCACCAAGGCAACGAUGCGUAGCCGACCUGAGAGGGUGAUCGGCCACACUGGGACUGAGACACGGCCCAGACUCCUACGGGAGGCAGCAGUAGGGAAUCUUCCACAAUGGACGAAAGUCUGAUGGAGCAACGCCGCGUGAGUGAAGAAGGAUUUCGGUUCGUAAAAACUCUGUUGCAAGGGAAGAACAAGUAGCGUAGUAACUGGCGCUACCUUGACGGUACCUUGUUAGAAAGCCACGGCUAACUACGUGCCAGCAGCGGC